UGCCCUGUGGUGUAAUUGGCACCCGAUCGCACUUUGAAUGUUCGUUGAGUCCAGGUUCGAUCCCUGGCGGGGCAACCA
rnacentral:tRNA from 1 species